rnacentral:lncRNA from 1 species
UUUGCUCUUUGGCUCCCUAUUUAUAAGCACUGGCAGCCACAUCAAUCGCCAAUCGAUGCUUCCUAGAGUUAAUGGCCAAACAGUUAAUGAUGUGCUUUCUCCAAAGUGGGAAUAAAUCCUUGCGAUGCUUCGCAAAGUGGGAUGGGCCCAUAUGGAUCAUUUUCUUAGGCCCUAUGCCGUCUCCCAGGCGUGACCUUAUUAGAUGAGCCAUUAACCAUCAUUUUCCAUAAUUGUCCGCAUUGAAGGGAGCAAAAUGAGGUUAUCAUUCCAAUUAAAUUGCC